GUAGGUGGCAAGCGUUGUCCGGAAUUAUUGGGCGUAAAGCGCGCGCAGGCGGUCCUUUAAGUCUGAUGUGAAAGCCCACGGCUCAACCGUGGAGGGUCAUUGGAAACUGGGGGACUUGAGUACAGAAGAGGAAAGCGGAAUUCCAAGUGUAGCGGUGAAAUGCGUAGAGAUUUGGAGGAACACCAGUGGCGAAGGCGGCUUUCUGGUCUGUAACUGACGCUGAGGCGCGAAAGCGUGGGGAGCAAACAGGGAUUAGAUACCCUGGUAGUCCACGCCGUAAACGAUGAGUGCUAAGUGUUAGGGGGUUUCCCGCCCCUUAGUGCUGCAGCUAACGCAUUAAGCACUCCGCCUGGGGGAUACGGCCCGCAAGGCUG
rnacentral:rRNA from 1 species